GAAAUGCGAUAAGUAAUGUGAAUUGCAGAAUUCAGUGAAUCAUCGAAUCUUUGAACGCACCUUGCGCCCUCUGGUAUUCCGGAGGGCAUGCCUGUUUGAGUGUCAUGAACACCUCACCCCCUCGGGUUUCCGAUCGGGUGGAUUUGGGCGCUGCCAGUCACAUGGCUCGCCUUAAAAGCAUUAGCGGUUGUUGACGUGAUAAGUUUCGUCUUGUCAACCGCUCCUAAUCUCCUUAGGGAUGUCCUUCCGGACACUUCAUGAUCUGACCUCAAAUCAGGUAGGACUACCCGCUGAACUUAA
rnacentral:misc_RNA from 2 species